CCAGUAUUCUUGCCUGGCGAGUCACAAUUCAUGGAGUCGCCAAGAGUCAGACACGACUGCAGUGACUUAGUACACAGGCACAUUCAUCCAGCCACAUUCAAGUUCUGACUUCUAUGAAGACGAUAAAGCAGGCUGCUUGGGAACAGUAAAGAAGAAUGUGAAAAGUUGGAUUUGAUCAAGAUUUGAGUUUUCAAUGUGAUCACAAUGGAGAGAGAAGAUGGAAGGAGGAGACCACAGAGGCAGGAAGAGUCUGCACUGGAUUCUCCCCUGGAGCCGCGAGAAGGAACACAGUCCUGUGGAUGCCUUGACUGUGACCCCAUGAGACCCACACUGAACUUAAAAUCCAUAGAAUGUGUAAAAUAGUACAUGUGUGUUGUUUUCAACUGCUCUGUUUGUGACCACCUGUUACAGCAGCCACAGAAGACUAGUGCACGUCCCUCCCAAGAGGGAGAUCCAGAUGCCCUCUCACCAGGGAUAAUUUGUCCAAAGUAGUGAAUCAUUUUUCAGUCUCUGAGGCAAGCACCUGCUCAUCUUUAUCCAAAAGCUAAAAGCUUCCCAAUUCCACUCUCUCUUUUGGCAUGUGGCGUGUAAACCAGCUCCUCCGUGGCUGCAGGCAUUCAUUCAGAAGCCCUGCGUGGGCAGCUAAGGGAAGAGCAUCCAUUAUUGGAAGUCAAUGUGAAACUUACCUUAGAACUU